GUGCCCUUACCUGUCCCGCAGGUUCCGGGAGAGUCACGUUCAGUGCAGUCUCUUCCCUUUUGAUGACGGAAUUAAGAGUCUGCCUAAAGCCGGGGUCAUGUGCUAUGAUGUUAGCGUCAUUAAGCCGUGUGGGAUCCCGGCGUUUCGUUACCGCGACGGUGUAAUAGGGAGCUCCGUUUCCUCUCGCUUGGGUAUUACAAGACCUUUUAACUAUUGUGAAAAGUAUUUAGACGCUUUGUACGUCUCAGUACAUCAUAUGUGUACAAACGGAGUGCUUUCAGAUAACAUUGUACAGCAAGUAAAAACUAUGUCUGCUAAUAAGCCAUGAAAAAUCAGUAUAGCACGUGAACUGUCAAGAAUAAGGUGUUGACCAGAGAGCUCCAAAGGUCUGUGCGUGGCCAACGGUGAGGGGCUUUCAUCCUGCACAUGCUUGCUUCCGUCUUAAUAUAUCAUUGGAGUCAAGUCGUCAUUUUCCCUGGGACUGCUUAGUUGCUCACAGCUAAGUACAAAGAUAUUUACAGAAUCCGGUGGUUUUUUUUUUUUUAAUUGUUGGAAUAAUAAUUAUUAAUUUUAAAGGUCUUUCUGUAUUUUAUGUUAUGUAUCUAUUUUGUGCGUGUAUAACAAGCUAUAGACUUGCUAAGUGUAGCAUGAUACACAAAUUUGUCUUCUACAAUACGCUGCGUAGCAGUUUAAGAAGCAUUCUCUUCUAGCAGAGUUGCAUGUGUUGAUUUGAAAAAUUUUAUUUCUCUUUUUUAUGUGACCUUUCUUAAACCUCUGUGUUUUGUUCAAUCUAGACAUAAGCAUUUUAAGAGGAAUACUGGAUACCAUGAACAACAUAGGUAUGCAGAGUGCAAUCCUUUUUUGUGUAGAGAUUACUAAACCAGCAUAUGUUCUUUAAAAUGACUUUUCACAGCCUGCCCAAGUCAAUCUCUAUGUUGGUUUUUUGUGCUUUCCUUCUACUUUCUUAUUCCUAUAGCCUGCAGGUUUUUAAAAAACCUUUAGGUUCUUUAAGAGUAAGCAAUGCUAUGAAAUAUAGGUAAUAUCUUCGGUCCUUGGAGGUCCUGACAGUUUUUCUGGUGACCUGAAAACAAAGAUGUCAUUGCUUCCAGUUUUUUAUCAACAGGCUGCCAGAUACUCAAAAUUUUUGGCAAACAGCUUUCUUAGCUAGCAAGUUAUGAAUGUGUAAGUCUAAUGUAUCAGCUUUUGUAAACUCAUUGUAGGUUUCAAUCUACGGCACCGGAUUCAUAUAAGAGGAAUCACUUGAAGUCACCAUUGUAUUUUGAGGAUUUCAGCAUUAAAGUAAUCUCCGUUAUGUACUUAAUCCAAUUUGGAUCCAAAUCAAUAGAAAGUCUUCCAUCAACUGUGAUGGCUAUUGAUUCAGGACCAAUAAAGACAGCUAGUAGUAAUUUGGUAUCAUAACGUUGUCUCCUUCUCCGAUACAGAAUUUAAAGUCAGAAGGUUUUUGCCCAGGCAUUUGCCUUAUUUCCUUCUCUGCUUCUUUUACAGUGAUCUUACUAAUGCUUGGGCUUUCUAAAUAAAAUCUUGUUUCAUUGAAGUAGAUUAGAAUUUUGUCAUUAAUUUAAACAUACUAGAGCUUUAUCUUUUGUCUUUGGUAUAGCACAAGUUAAGUAUAUACUAUUCAUCUUUAAAUUAGGGUUUAAUUAUUCAGCACCUUGUAGAAUCAAGAUCUAUCUGUUUAUAUAAAGUAGCCGUAAGGCUUGUCACUGGAAUAUCACUGAAUCGCAGAAUAGCUGAUGUUGGAAGGGACCUCUGGAGAUCAUCUAGUCCAACCCCCCUGUUUAAGCAGGGUCAUGUAGAGCAGCAUGUGGCCCAGGAAUGUGUCCAGAUGGCUUUUGAAUAUCUCCCAGGGUGAAGAGUCUGCAGCCUCUUUGUGCAAUUUGUUCCAGUGUUCUGUUACCAUCACAAUAAAGAGAUUUUUCCUCAUGUUCAGACAGAACUUCCUGUGUUUCAGUUUGUGCCUGUUGCCUCUUGUCCUGUUGCUGGACACCACUGAAAGCAGUCUGGCCCAAGACACAGCAUGAUAAAUUUAGAGCUUGCACAGCAAUGAAUUCUGCACUGGCCUUCCCAAAUUGUCCUGCUCUUUGUGCAUUCAGGCAUGCAAAGUUUUCCAAGAAGUUCUGUGAAGGAUAUGUAAAGUUAGUGUUUUGUUUACAGUAGAGGAGUUUUUUUUAUGGACAUUUGCAGUUUAGUCAGAAAGUCUGUUCACUGCAUGAGCAAGCUCCUUUCACAAAAAAACAGUUUGUCUUCGGCUCAUGUAUGCUUAAUUUUAGAUUUAUUAGCUGUAUCAUACUAGAGUGAAAUGUGAGGUGGAAGUUGGUCUUUUUUUGUUGUUGGUUCAGCAUAUCAGUCCCGUUUUUUGUUGCCUGCCAUCUUGAGCUAAGCAUAUAAUAGUUGUUAGGAAUUGGUUAAACAAAUAACUGGAAACAAAAAGGAGGAGUAAGUAGUCAGUUUAUGAAGGGAGCUUACUGGUAGAGUCCCCCUAGAUUCUGUACUCCAUGCUGUCCAUAAUAUUCUUAAGCAAUAUUCUUAAGUGAUCUGGAGGAGAGGAUUAAUAUUGAAGAGAUGAGGUUUAUUACAGAAUGCUAAUCGGUGUGAUCAAAACAAUAAGGAGUAGCAGAAGAAUAUCAUGAACUUGAGUGAAUGGGAAAACGUCAGUUGUCAUUAACUGUUGAUGAAUGAAGAUCAUUCAUCUAGGGGAAAGGAAUUCUAAUCAGUCAGUAGGUAUGGAGAUCUCUGAAUUAGCUAUUCCUACUUAGGAAAGAGGUGUUAGAAACCUUGUAGGUACUUUUCUGAAUGCUCAUCAGUGGUCAAAAAGGAAAAUAGAAAUUUAGGAAAUAUUAGGAAACAGGUAGAUGAGAAAAAAAUUGAAAACAUUAUUAUGUCGACAUAUCAAGGGUCUGUGCAUUCUCUGUACUGUAAAAUCCUGAAAAAAGAAAGAAUAGAAUAGAAAAUGAUCAGGUAGCACGUUUAAAACAACAGAAGCAAAUAUUUUUUCAGGCAAAGUGUCAUUAAAUUCUGGAACUCAUUUCCACCGGAUCUUUUGGUUCAAAAGGUAAGUGGUUUAAAAGGCAGUUACACAAAUUCACAGAAGAAAACUCCAUUAAGGGCUAUUAAGCAAUAGAAAAUCCCAAAGCUGCAGAUUGCUAGAAGCCGGGUAAGUUUACUGGAAGAAAGAUGGCUCCGCUGUUGCUCAUUUUUUCCAGUCUUUCCGUAAGCAUCCAUUAAUAUCUCAGAGGUAGGAUACUGGGAUAGAUGGAAGUUUGGUACAGCUUGUAUAUCUGUUCUUAUAUUUUAAGGUUCAAAUCUUGCCAGUCUUACAGACCGAAAGUCUCUGAAACAGAAAUCACAGUAGCACUAUCUGGCUAAAUUUGCAAGUAUCCAGUGGCAAGUCUGAGAGAAGUACAACUGGUCCGUUUGUAUCAAUGGAUGUAUGCUCUCUAGCUAAUUGAUGAUAAUUUGUACGUCAACACUGGUGGCCAUAACUCCUGAUCAAAGAAAUAUGAAAGAUCAUUUAAAAAUGUGCACAGUCUUCAGAAAGUAAGCUGGGUGGAGCUUGAGAAAGUACUCUGUACAGCCUGUGAGAAAGUGCUCUGUACAGCUGUCUUGGCAGGAUGCUGAUGAAGAUGCUAUUACUAAAUGAAUUGUCAAGAAAAACAGCUUGAGGGCUUCCAUCAGUGAAGCAGUAAUGUUUGUGAAAGGCGGGCCACUUUAUUCUGCAAGGUAGACACCAUGGCUUCUGCGUUCAGUCCCAGCUAUGUAUUACAAUAAGGUGAACUAUAGGUAUUGCAGAUCUGAAACACCCUCUACGCUCUGCUUGCUCCAUGCAUCACAGUCACCUGGCAAGAAGAGUUUAGAAUUGAGGAGUCAUCUUUCUUCUUCAAUUUUUUCAUGUUAUAAAAGGUAAGAGGAACAAAGCCAGUGGAAGGUGCUAGUAAUGCAAUUUACCAGUGUACACUCAUUAUUGGACUGUUCAUUAUAAGCUAGUCCCGACCAGUCACUGUUCCCAGGCAAUGACGGUAAGCGGGUAUCAGGCUGUAGUGAGAUUUUCUUUUACAGCCUUGGGCCCCCUUAUAAUUUAUUAAUUUUCAUGACCACAGACAACUUUGAUGGAAAACCAUGCAGUUUGGGUAAUCCGAGGACCAUUGACCUACGCUACUUUUACAUUGUACUUUUCUAUCUAUAAAUCUCUUACCUUUCUCGCAACUGGAUGCUUGUAUUUUUUCCAAGGUGUUACUGUAAUUUUUCUCAGAGUUCAUUUAGAUAACAUAAUAGAUAGUAUUCCUGAAUACAUCAACCCCUUAUUACUAGUAAGGUAAUCUUAAUGGGAGCAAGGAUAGAAUACUUUAAGGAAAACUCUCGUGCCAGCAAAACCCAAGGCUCUCCAGCUCUUGUUUUUUGGUCUUUUCUGACAGAAAAUAUUCAGGGUAAUAGUAAGAAACAGAUCAAAUCCUAUCACAGAGCUAUUGAAAAGGAGUCCCACUAGAUGGGGUUAUAGUUUCAAAUGAAGAGGAUUUUUUUAAUCUGGUUUGAGGACAGAUUUUUUUGCUUGUUAUUUUGUUCAAGUUACCUACAUAAUUCUGUGCAGUUAGCAUAGGUUCUUUUUCUCUCUUCAGAUCAUAAUCUAGAUUUUUUUGAGCUUUCUUGAAUUAUUUCAUAGUCUUUCAGCAUAAGCUAUUUUAAGUUUAUCUGAUGAAAUUACUGACAUGUUCUGAACAGUCUUGCCACUUCAAGCCAAACUACAAUACGUUUUUGUUUAGCAUGAUUUUUUUUUCUCUGUGCCCAGCUCUACUCAGUCCUUAUAUUACAGGCUUCCCAUAUGCCAUAUAGAAAAAAAAUCCAGCACAAAUCAUCUUUAUUUGGAAUUAGUAACAUAGUUGGUGCCAUCCUGUAUGAUCUGUUUGGAAAAGAGGUUUUAUUUUUUAUUUGUUUUCUUGAGCAAAGACUGCUUAGCACAGGGGUGCCCUAUAACUGGGUUGAAGUGCUUCUGCAUUUAAGUAAUAAAUAAUUUUGUUGAAUUUAAAUAAUAAUUCUGUUCUUAGGUCCUUCUCAUGGUGUAGUUUCAAAAGAAGCUUCUCAUAUGAAAAUGAAUCAAAUAUACUAAUACUAAAAGGAAGAAUGCACACACACAAAUGUUGUGAAGACAAAUUGAGAUUGUUGAGCAAAAUUAUUUUUUGGCAUUACCUGAUUUGUGAUUAUUUUUAAUAUUUAAUAAUAUGGUGCCAUAUUUGUUAUUUUUAUGGUGGGCACACUUUCAUUCUUACACCAAUGUAAAUAACGCCAAUAUACUAACGCCUUUGAAUUUUUGUUUUAAGAAUGAUGAGAAACAUCUCAAGAGUCAUUCCCACUCUCAAUCUAAUGAAGUUAUUUGAAAUUAAUUAGUGCUAAAUCACUCUUAUCUACCGUUUUUAAAACAAAGUAUACCAAAUGAAAUUAUCUUUUACAAGGACAGCAAAAAAAAAAAAGAGGCAGGGAGGAAUGGAAAGGGAUGAGAAGACAUGGAAAUUAAAAGCAAUCUAGUGAUAAGCUCAAUGUAGUGAGUUGCACCAAUUGUAAAAGGUACUGGGAAAUUAAACAAUUUAUUUUUUUUAUGAUCUAAAACAUAUCAAAGCCCUAUUUCCACAAAAUACUUUGAAGCGUAGGUUCCCUAGUCAAGAGUAGGAGCUCUAAUUUAGUAUAAAUCCUGAAAGCUGAAGCAGUGUAAAGCCUUAAUGUAAAUUACGUACUGUCAUAGUCUUUUCAUAUGCAUAUGCAAUAGCAGAGACGUCUCUUGAUAGCUAUCCAUAUUUAUCGAUCAACUUCUAAUAAUUAUCUGGGGAUCCCAAAUUACCAGUCCCUUUUGUACAGGAAAACAAAGAGAAGACUAUAUUGGAGAGCUGAGUUUUUAGUAUUACGGAGAAACAAACAGGAUUUUAUCUUUAAUUUCUGUGAUCUGAAUUCCUUUUGAAAAUCAGAGCUGUAUACCAAAGGAAGAAUUAAAUUUAGUACAAUCCAUUUACAGCCAACAUGCUUUUGUUGGAACAAUGCUACUGUGUUGGAAUGAAAAUCCUCAGCUGUUUCAAUAUGUUACUAUUUCAUUUACAAUGAAAUUCCCAGUUUUAGGCCCGCAUCUCUGUUUUGCUCCUUUGUAGGAAUUCCAAAUGUGAUGAUACAGUUACCUGAUAAUGGAGACCAUCAAUUGUAUAUAGUAGAUAAGGUUAAUUACUCCUAAAAUGAACAAGGAUAGCUACCAAUUGUAUAUAGUAGAUAAGGUUAAUUACUCUUAAAAUGAACAAGGAUAGCUACCAAUCAACUGAUGCAAUAGUUGCAAAAAUCUUUAGUGUAGUUUAAUAAUAAUAUAAAAUACUUUUGUUUACUGUAGUGCCAUGCUACAGACAUAUCAGCAUGAACGCAGAGUUCUCAGGUAUCUGUGUAACUUGCCAUGUGUUCCAGUAACCCGGAAAUAGUGCUGCAUCAUCAAGCAAGUGUGCAUCUUUUUUCAGUAUACCUUGUGUCAUAGCAACUGCUACCAAGGCUGAUAAAGAAUGAACUGGAGCUGGAUAAAUUAGGUUAGAGGUGAGUUUCUGACGAUACAUUGAACCUACAGAAAGUCAUCACACUAUGAGUGAAAAAAACAAGCACAACAGGUGAGUGGAAUAUGGGUUGAGGGAAAAGAGAAAGAUAACAAAAGAGGUUAUUUUUGACUUGACUUCUGAAUCAAUGAUUGUCGGUCUUUAAACUUUUUAUUUUUUGCUGGAAAUCUGGCAGAAAUACAGUUAUUUAAUGCAUGAAAGAAUAACCACAGAUAUAAUAAAGAAGCAGUGAUUGUGUUCUUCUAAAUACAUUUUUAAGUAAAAUAAUCACAAUCACUGAAUUCAUAUACUGACUGCAUUUCAGAAUAUUCCUGCAGAACCUUUUUAAUAAUAUAUGUUUUUCCCCAUAGUUCAAAGGUGGCAUUAGCAAAUGGACACUCAAUUACAAAAGAGGUCGCUGGAGACCCUCCAAGCCAUAGGUCCUCUACUAAUCCUGUGCCUGGGUCCUUUGCCACACUGGGACACAGAAGUCCAUUUCCCACCAGAGGAUACUUACAGCCAAACUGAGAUCAAGGAGAUACCAUUUAGCAGAUAUGUUCACUGGAUUAGGCUGUGAGCUUUCAAAAAGGCAAGUGCUAGAACUGCAGAAGAAUUUAAGGUGAGAAUCUGAAAAUUAAGACUCUGUUCCCAAAAAGGUGAUUCCUAGUGCCUCUUUUGGUCGUGGAGGUUUUCUGUGCUAUCAACAGGCCAGUUACACUUCCAAAUGGCAGUCCAGGCAUCCCGUGUUCUGGACAAAGAUGUACAUAGAGUUAUCUAAGAGGGGUCACUAUGUAAGAAGAGCAUCUGAUCUUUUACUGUUCACAGAGGCUGCACUUGAGAUGCAGGAUAAGGCAGGCAACUAAUUUCACAGGACACACCUUCUUUAACAUAGUAGUGGCAAGCCAUCCUCAUUUUAUCUAAUGUCUAGCAGAGCGCUUCUCAGGAAGUGACUGAUUUGAGUUCGAUUCCCUACUCAGGUUUAAAUCCAUCUCUUCUGCCACUCAGGCAUCCUAAGUUACUCAGUCGGAUUAAGGGCAAAAAAUGUGAAUAAUUUCAGCAGCCCGCAAUUAUUCUCCAUCCUUCCUAUUCGGUUUAGGCGUGGAUGCGCUUUGGCAGUGGCAGGCAACAUAGCAUUCAUGUUUGCAGGCUGUUCCAUUUAUAACACCUUUGUAUAACCGGUUUAAACUUGUUAUACUUUAUUAAGUUUGCUGUGAAACUGUAUUCGGUGAUAUCUGUUAAAGCUUUCUGUUUUCAGUCUUCAGUACUAUUGGAUUUCUUUUUUCUUGCCUGAAUAUUUACUAGUUAUUGUAGAAGGAUUCCAUGCAUCGUACGCUGCUGUGUAUUCCUGUUCUUCACGCACUCAUCUCUUGGUAACAAUUUAUGUUUUAUUUCUUGUACUAAUCAGCUGCGAUAUCUUAAACACCUCUUUAAUUUAAAAAACAGUCCUUACUAUGGUGUUGGUAUUAACGUGCUUUAAAUAAAUAUAACAACUUCAAUCUCUCUAUCUCUCUCCACCAGGAUGAUCAGCCAACAUAUUUCAAUGACUUCUAUACGUUGACAAAUGAGAUACUAUUAAUCUUUUCUAGCUGGUAAAGUACUCACAGAUUUAUUUCACCCUCUGGAUUUGCACAUAUUUCACAAUAAUAGGACAGUCAUUCGUGCUGUAUGUAAAGUGUUAUCACCAUAGAAAUGGUGAAGCGUUACUGAGAGCAAGACUGAGAUGGUUAAACAACCAUUUAAAAAUUACAAAAUAUUUUAUAUUCUGCUGUUUCAUGAGUAUAUAGAAACAAAAGCUGCACAAUUAUAAUUCCCUGUGGUUUUUAAUUUACUUCAUGUGAUCAAUUAUCGUCUGCCCUGUCCAUAUGACAGUUUAUUUAGAUGUAUUUUACAGUCAUUAUUUGCUAACCUGCUGUAUUUGUAUGUGCAUCGAGAAAUAUUCCAUGUUAUUAGAACAGCUGAUGUUGCUGCAGAUAAAUAGGAUAUAGAAUGCCUUUUUCAUAAUCUCUUUUAAAUACAUAAUUGAACUUUGGAUUUUUCUGUAAGAGCUUUGCAGAGAAAUUUGACUUGUUUUGGGAAAGACAGGAAGGAAGGACAGUGAACUACGCACUCGCGAUGUCUUCCUUCCUCGAAGAUGAAUAGUCCACUUCCUUACCAGAAGCAUCCAUGUCACAGGAUGUAGCAUGUUCUCUUUUCCAAAUAAAAAAAAAUUAUUAUGAUGACAAAAAGGUGAAAUAAUUAUGGGGAAAAUAAUGGAAGUAUACCAUGUAAACUAUUUCAGUCACCAUCUUUCCUCAUUUUUAAGUGUGUUUAUCCAUAUACAUUACAUGGAACACUGCUAGAUGUUAAUAGUCUAACCUUCUUAUUUAUCAGCAGUCACGCUCACUGAUUUGACUUGGGAGAGGAUACUACAGGGGGGACAUACUCCUUUUGGUGGAGAAGGACAUACGUUUUGGACCAGUAGGUAAUCGAAGGAAAAGAAACGUUGCUGUGAAAAUUACAACGCUAUCAGAAUGUGGCUUCAUCAAGUGAGUGAGAUCCAGAUUUGGAUAAAUAUAGAACACUUCUUCUAAUUAAUAUUGUUCUAUAUUUUUUAAUUGCCUUUGCUUUAUAUAUGUAUGCUUCUCUUCUACUUUCUUAAUGGGUUUUAGCUGUAGAAAUUAUUGACAACAAAAUCUCUAAGUUAAAAUACUGAAGAAUCCUUGUCAACAGAAAAUUGCAGGUUGGUUACAGGUGCCAGCAGUAAAAACCAAAUGCAAGAGUCCAAACUUAAACAGGAAAAAAGAAAGAUGAUAUUUGACCUUUAUAAAUACAGAACCUACUUCAUUCACCUGAGCCCCAGGUGAAUUUAUUUUGAGCAAUGGAAAUAGGAUCUCAGCCUUAACUGUAGUGGGAGCUACUUAACCAUGUUUUAUUACAAGAAUCACUUCAUCCCUGAACCACAAAUAGUUGCAGUUUAGCAGUUUACAGCAGAUUGUAUAAUUUAACAGAUGAAAUAAAGAAUAUAGUGUAGUCAAUUCAAAAUACUGAGAAAGGUCAAGAAGGCAGAACAUAUUUACUUAAACCUGAAUUUACUCAGGAGACACAGAGUGUAAAUAUGAAAGAUUCCAAUGUAUAUACCUGCAAACAAAAUCUUUUCUCUAUUGAAAUUUCAGCUAGCGUUGUCUUUAUCCAGUUAAGUCUGUCUGUUCCUGGUACUGCUGUUCCUCCAUUUCUCUGGAGUGAAGCAAAAGGUUAUUGAGCCAUAGCCUGGCCUCCGGCUCAGUACUUGGUCAGUAGAAAAGCUGUGAUUAUUGUGAUUACUUGAAUAUAUCCCUGACCUUAAGUAUCGCAUAUUUCACCAGUUAAAGAAGAAUUCAGUCCUCACUUUCUAUGUACUACUUUUAUGAAGAGAACAGAACCUGAACUGUAACAGUGAUUUAAGGUGUUGGAUGUGAAAGAGUGCAGAUGCUGGCACGUGUACAGCACUCCUCUUUGAAUGAUAUGUACAUAUACUGCCAAACAUUGUAAGCUAUGUUCGGUGGCCUCCUGCAACAGGGAUGGUCAUCGCCAUCACCACUGCUUGCCCCGUGACUCAGAUUUCCCAUCGGGGUCUUCUCUUCAGAAAAUAACUAGCUCUAGUUGUCAGUUUGCAGUGCGUAAUGAUGUAAAUAGCUUGCAAUAGCAUAGCUUCAGCUUUUUUAUUGGAACAUUAAUACCAUUCUGUAAAUUACUCAUUAUUUUGAAUCUCUCUUUUGGUUUGAAGAAAAGCAUCCUAAAAUGUACACCAGCCAAAAGCUAUCACUAAUAGCUAGUGAUUAACAAAGCAGGGCUUUAAAGAGCCAAGUAAUGUAAGUAAUGAAAAUGAGUGUGUAUGCUCACAGCAUACUCAAUCAGCCUAUCGAUAUAAGUUACAGGUACAGAGAAAUUGUGAGUACUGGUGGUAUAUAGCCAAUUAAGGCCUCUUCUGAGAAAGUUAGAAGUUACGAACAUCUGCCUGCAGUACACAACACGCUAAACUUUAAUGGAAUCAGUUAUUUCCCUUGCAGCUGUGUUCACAUCUGUAUCAUUUUUCAGAAUUCCCUCUUAGAUGAUUAUUUGGCUUUCCUUUAUGGUUCUUUUUUAGUUUUUUUGUAUUUAUUUUGAAUAUCAAGCCUUGGACACUGCCUUCAGAGCUUCAGAAAAGAUUAAAAAAAACAAAGUAGUCCUAGAACUGCUGGAGUAUAGGUGUAUUUUUAAGUCAGUUUAGAAGCCUCUUUCCUUUCACACAGAACUGGAGUUCUCUAUAAUUUUGCACAGCCAUAAUGGGACAGAAAGGAAGAGCACUCAUUUUGCUCAGCAUGUUCCCCUCCCCUACUUGCUGUUCACAUAUAGCUAGUCAUGUAACAGUUAAAUAUUUUUUCAAAAAGCAGGUGAAUAAUGAUAAUGCUUUUUCCCAGUAUGAAAACUGAGGGGUUUUUUGAGGAUCCAGAUAGAAGUGUUCUCCUUCAUGGCACUCCAUUCGCUGGAGGACUUGGUAAAGGUUUUACUGUAAAGAUUCUUGUAAGCUCUUUUUAUUCUUAUGCAAACGUGGCAAAGGAUGGAGGGGGGACAAACAAAAACAGACAUUCAUAUGUGUAACUCUUUUCAAACAAAUUACAUACUCUCUUCCCAAAGUGAUAGCACAUAUGGUUCCUUUCCUUCAUGGGCAAAAAGGAAAACAUUAGAAGUCCUAUCUUGUAUUUCCUUUUCCAGGUUAAACAGCGGCUUUUGUUAAUGCAAGUAGGGAGUCACUUGCCCAUUUAGCAGGCAAAACAUGUCUGUAAGAGAUCCCCUUUUCUUGUAAAGAUUUCAGUCCUGCAUUCUCUGUGCUAGCAUGAUAGAUGCGCAUUUUAUGUCACAAUGGACCUGCCUGGCCUCCAAGGUCCCUGAGGAUCUAGAGAACUGAAUCCUGUAUUUCUUCCAAACGGAUAAGAUUUGCAGGCUGCACCUUCAGGACUUCCCCUGAAGCUACCAAUUUCCUUUGAAGGAAGCAUAAGCCAAUGUAUCCUGAAAACUGUGGAGCCAUAGCUUUAACUGUUGUCAGCUGAAUAUCUCAUUGAUUGUAUGAGGAGGCCAGGAUGGUCCCCUCUAAGGAUCUGGGCAUGGAUUGUAUGUGUCUUAUUUGCCUCGCCCUCUACAGGCUUAAAGCCCUCUCUCCAACUUAAUAUCAGGUGCCAAGUGUAUUUCUUUUCUACUGUUGGGAGCUCAUUAGUACAUCAGCAGUGUCACCCAUCAGUCACAAGUUACUCAUAAGGCAGCAGAAGACAGUUCAUAACAAUAUUGCAAUCAAAGAAAUAAUAAGUGCCCUGAGGAAAAGUUGGGAGCCAGUUCAUGAUUGCUACCAGUAUCUUCUGACAUCCAAGCCCAUGUGUCAUUUUAUAUUUUAUCAGUAUUCUAUACGUUAUUGUUUCUAAUUUUGAAGUAAAACACAAUUUUGUUUAGCAAUAACUUUUUAUUUACAUACAUGACACACAGCUCCCUUGCUUGCUGCUUAACAGUAGAGGCCUGCAGGAUGUGUGUGUGUCUGUGUGUGUGCCUGUGUGUGUCUGUGUGUUUUAAAGAAGUUAGGUGGUCUAUUGAUUAAGAACACUGAGGAAUUGAGGAGCAGGAGGAUUAAAGGGCAGGGUAAUAUGGGUGACACUGUUGUGGGGGUAUACUACAGGCCACCUGAUCAGGAGAGAGUUGUCGAUGAGGCCUUCUACAGACAGCUGGAAGUAGCCUCACGAUCACAGGCCCUAGAUCUCAUGGGAGACUUCCACCACCCUGACCUCUGCUGGGAAGAGAGCACAGCUAGGCACAAACAGUCAAAGAGGUUCCUGCAGAGGACUGGUGAUAAUUUCUUGAUCCAGGUGAUGGAGACGCCAAUGAGGAGAGGUGCAUUGCUAGACCUUGUACUAACAAACAAAGAAGGUCUAGUUGGAGAGGUGAA